GAUGAAGAAUGCAGCGAAAUGCGAUAAGUGAUGUGAAUUGCAGAAUUCAGUGAAUCAUCGAAUCUUUGAACGCACAUUGCGCCCUCUGGUAUUCCGGGGGGCAUGCCUGUUCGAGCGUCAUUAUAACCACUCAAGCUCUCGCUUGGUAUUGGGGUUCGCGGUUCCGCGGCCCCUAAAAUCAGUGGCGGUGCCUGUCGGCUCUACGCGUAGUAAUACUCCUCGCGAUUGAGUCCGGUAGGUCUACUUGCCAGCAACCCCCAAUUUUUACAGGUUGACCUCGGAUCAGGUAGGGAUACCCGCUGAACUUAAGCAUAUCAAUAAGCGGAGGA
rnacentral:misc_RNA from 1 species